GGAAACAACCGGCCCGCGGGCACGGCUGUCAUCGUGCGCACUUACAAACGGAUGCCGAGCACCUCGUUAGUUACAGCACAGUUGAAGAUGACUCUGAGCAACCUGAUCUGCCUUUGAAGAUGGAUCUGAAUUCAGAGCGUGGUCCAGGGGACCCUCAGUGGUCCCUUCCAGCCUGAAUUACCGUAUGCUUCUGGAACACGCGCUUCAGUGGAACUCUUCGUAACAGCUGAGUGAGCAUCCCAAGAGGUCAGGUGCUGCUUAUACAGCAGACUUUGACGACGUGUGAAGCCUCCAAACUAUGCCUAAUGUGAGCUUUUGAUUGUACCAUGGACCUCUUUCCUCCUCAAUCAUUCCAUCUUGUACUCCAAUGCUGAGACCCACAUUCACUGCACUAAAAAAAGAAA